UCAUCCCUUCCACGAGCUUUAUUCCCUCGUACACUGCUCACAGCUCAGCUCCCAAAAUGCUAGUAAUUUUGAAAUGAACAGCGAAUCCCUUCAACCAUUCUCCCUUAUGGUUUCAAAUAAGACCUCCUGUUAUUGCACUAUUAGAUUCCUUUCUCCAGGAUGCACUAUAUUGACUUGAAAAACAGUUUCACUGGUGGUGUCCAUGCUACCCACACAAGACCAAAUGUAUUGUACAUCAGUGCUCCAUGGAUCUUCUUCCAGACCCUGUCGUAGUCGUAUGCUUGAAUUUUAGCCUGUUACACUAUAUAUUGUAGUCCUGCAAUAAAGUCUCCAAAGAUUACAUUAUGUUUUCUUUUUCAGAGAUUCCAACCCAACAUAUGAUCCCGAGUAAGACAUUUCAUGUCUGGCCGUUCACAUCCAGACU
rnacentral:lncRNA from 1 species